ACCGGAUGCCUAAGAAGAAAUGCAGUCACUCGCUCCUCAUUUUCUUCAGGAUCUAUGGAACAAGUACUGUAAACCAAUACUCCACCAGGCUUUACCAACCUAUGGAUGCCAUUGCAGUAAAUAACAAAUCUAAGAAAACCUAUC